rnacentral:rRNA from 1 species
CCCUUAGAUGUUCUGGGCCGCACGCGUGCUACACUGAGUGGAUCAGCGGGUCAGGUUGCGCGAAAGCGUUUCCUAAUCUUUAAAUCCGCUCGUGAUGGGGAUUGACGGUUGCAAUUUUCUGUCAUGAACGAGGAAUACCUUGUAAGCGCGGGUCAUCAUCCCGCGCUGAAUACGUCCCUGCCCUUUGUACACACCGCCCGUCGCUCCUACCGAUUGAGUGGUCCGGUGAACAAUUCGGACCGCUUUGUUUAGGCCGCUUGGUCUCUAGAAUAGCGGGAAGUCUCGUGAACCUUAUCACUUAGAGGAAGGAGAAGUCGUAACA